AAAAAUUGUAUAAAAAGUAAAAUAAUCCAACUGACGUGACGUGUCGUGUAAGCGUUUUAUGUUUUUUUAUAAAAAAAAUGCAGCAAUAAUGAUAAAAAUGCAGACGUAUUUUGAAAGAACAUCUAUUUAAUACAAUAGAACACAAAUUUUGAAGUUCAUAAGACCUCUUCAGAGUACAAACCCUAAUCACCAAAAUAUUAAAAGGCAUUAUGAAGACCUAUUCAGAAACUUACAUCCCCACCCUCACAUUUACCUGGUGGUGUAAAAUAUUCUGGCCAGGAUCUGAGUUCAUAUCGGAUCAGAUCAGUCCUCAAGAUGUUAGGAUGACAACGAUGUAUCCAACACAUCGUCCGAGACAUCAGCACCAGGUUUGUGAAAACAGCACUUGCCAAUGUUUGUCAAGUUGAAAAGUCUACAGUAUGUCUGCUUCAAGACCUAAAUAAUUAUAUCUACUUAAUUCGGUAUCAAGCAAUAAAAUGAAAAAUGAAAAAUUGAAGACAGGGAAUCUUUGUACAUUUCCAAAAAGGACAAGCUAAAAUCACAAAAUUCGGUUUUGGAGCCUAAAAUGCAAUGAUAUUGGAAUAAUAUGGGACAACAUUCAAGAAGAUUUACCUUAAUGUUUAUCUAGAAUUCAAUCAAUUAUAUUUGUCUUCAUAUUUAAACAGAAUGUUUGAAUUCAAUAUAAUAAAAAAUAACCCAACCAUA